CCGACCAGUGGCACAGAAUGAGAAAUGAAGAGCAAAACGUGGCUCAUUAUUUUUUGGUCUGCUAACAAUAUUGUGGAGUGAGCCAUGAGAAAGCUUCUAAGGACAGCGUGCCGACAGAGAGGUCAAACCUUUACACCUCUAUGGCAAGCACUUUCCAGACUACUAAUUACUCAAGAGAACAUACACGCUCCUGAAGAAUGUGGUGAAGGCAGAGAAAGUGGACAGAGAGCUGGAAAUGGGACAUACUGAGGUGACAGGAGGAGGAGGACCAAGGCGAUGGAGGAGAGGGGGCAGUGAGGAGGAGAGGAGGAUGACCAGACACUUUCUGUACCCAGCAUUCUUACCUCUGAUUGGUGUACCACCUGGUGAGAUCCCAAGGUGCAGUCACAGCAUCCGCAGAGUCCAUCGCUGGUCUGGGUCACAUCACUCUUCGUUGGACAAUCUUUGGUUGUAAUUACUGUCAGACAGUAAGCACCAGAGGAAGCCUUACACAAGCCAGAGGAGUUUUUUUUUUUUUUCCCGGAGAGAGCAAAGGUCUCAAAUUGAAAAAUGAAGCUAUUAGUGUUUCUUAAUGGAUCAAAGUCAUUUCAUAGGACUAACUAAUUCAUGAGCAAAUCUAAUCACUCCUCUAUAUAAUGAAUUCUAUUGAAACAAAUAAAUUGAAUAAUUGCGGAGUGCUGAGAUUGCACACGGCUACGUAUUUCACUUGCCUUGUGUGGCACAGGAUAACUCCGAUUUCCCAUUAAAGGAAGUCGGCCAUCUGUGCUCGGCCGCCGUGGGACUGCAUGUGAUGACGGGGCCUUAUGAAACAUAUUGAAACAAAUCGCUCUGCUAUUUGGUUAAUAAUACAUGUUUGUCCUUACCUAAGGCCCAGACUGUGACUUGGGAAAAUCCUCAGAGUGGACUUCAAAGCCAGCGAUAUCCUAGAGCUUGUCUCUCAGCCUUUCCUCUCUGCCUGUGUUGAGAUGAGAGGAGGAGGGGCCCCGGGCUCCUCAGUGAUGGGAAAUCUGCUUCUUACUCCUGCUGCAAGGGCUGGCAAGAAAGUUUGGCCCUGGACAGCCGUUCCAAUGUUGUGUAGGUGCUUGCAACUUUUGGCAAGAAGCAAACAUUUCUAUUUUCUCCCUGAAAGGGCAGCUGACAGGGUGCACGGAGCUGGGCUAUUCAGCCAGCAGCCAUCCAGCUCCGCUGCGGGCUCGCUGGGGCUGAGUUUGGUGGAGAAAGAUGCCCUAUCUGCUCCCCUGGAUCCCGGCCACCUCCUCACAGAGCUGCUUCACAUGGCUGCCUCGGCUUUAACAUUCAUCACUGUCUGUGGAGUGUUAAGCACUGUUGGCACGCCACCGUUCCCACACAGGUGCUGCUCAGGCAAUUACUGCAAUCUAUGAUAUCCUGCUCAAAGUCUGAACCGUCUAUUCCCAUCAGAAGCAUAUUUUUUAUAAGCAAGAUCCACCUUCAGACCUUUAACAAUUCAUCUAAUCUUUUUUUUUAUUUUUGAUGUAAGUGAUAUAAUUUAUUUUUGUGCAUCGACACCCGUCAACCCGUCAAGUGAGUAUAUGCUCUCAUGUAUAGCAUAACAACAUGAUCAUUCAGCUGAGGGCUUCAAUGGGCCGUGAUAUUGUAAAUGUUCUCUGCUAUGUUUGUGUUUAUCCGGGAGAUGCAUACGUGACCAAGGUAUCAAA